rnacentral:lncRNA from 1 species
UUGUCACUCAGUGCAGCCAGCAGAGCACUAGAGCAGUCAGCACCAGUGGCCAGCUGCAUUAGUAUGGCGGAUGACUUAAAGAAAAUAAUAAAAGAGACUUUAAGGGCUAGAGGUACUUGGAACGAAAUUAAGUCUCAUUUAACAUCUGAGGUCGUGGAAGUGUUAGAUGAAAAGGUUAGAAUCAUUAGGUGAUUUGUAAUAUCCGUCAGUGAAAGUUAAAUCUGCAUAGGGUCCUAUAUUGUAGCAUGGAGGGGGUAUAGGUCUUAUGCGCAUAUUGUCAUCAGUUUAGUAAUAAUUGGGCGAAGCCUUUGUAUAAAAGACUCACAGUCACGUCCCGUUUUUGUCUGUCUUUUUGUGUCAACCCUAUAUAUAUAUGCAUAAUACCAAGAGUGGAUAAUUAUUUAGGCAGAGUGUCUAACCUGCCUAUAUUCUGUGAUACCACAGUAUGUAUGUUUACGCAUGUACAUCCGUUUUUUGCAAGCAUAGACCCUUUGCAUUAGGUAGGGCAGUUAGGAGACUGUGUUUUUUGUUGGCCAUCUUGGUGUACAAGGUGGUGAUUUGUGCUAUGGUUGGCUGUGGGAAUUGGAGUGAUAGAGAUAAAGCAAAGAGUUUUUUUCGACUAUUGAGCGUACUCACCAAUCAAGGUACUAAAACUAAGUUGCUGACACAAAGAAGACAGAAAGCAUGGCUCUUUAAAAUAAAUAGAGCUGAUAUUACUCCUAAACAAUGCUAUAAUAUCAGUGUUUGUUCUGAUCAUUUUGUCAGUGGUGUUCCUGCAAAACUCUAAAAUAUGAACAACCCUGACUUGGCUCCUUCAGUGAAGCUAAGGUAUGGAUCUGCUAGUGGUAAAAAAGAAAAGCUUGGAUGCUACAUCACAAAGAUACACAAGAACUCAGAAGAGGAGAAGAUUGUGUGCCAAUACCAUAUAGCGGGUUUUUUUCGAGGAUAAUAAAUUUCGCAAAUGACCCAUAUCCGGAAGUUUGCAGAAUUAAUUUUCGCGAAUUUUUACUAAUCAAUUGAUUUUCAAGGAAUUUAAUUUCGCGAAUCAUGAAAAAAUCCACGAAAUUCGCGAAAUUUGUUAUCCUUGAAAAAAACCCGCUAUACGGUAGUAAUUUCAUUGAAAUCAGUACUGUUGAUACAUCAAUUAAUACUGGAAAUGAGUUGAAAUUGGAGUCUGAAAGCCAUGAUAUUCAGUCAGCCAAGAACUAUGAUACUGAAGCUAAUGAUGUUGAUCAUGUUGUACAUACCUCCUGCAGUAUGGCUCUUCAAAGAGACCCAUCACUAGGUUUGGAAGAUAUGAAGAAGUAUCAGGAUGAAUUUGAGGAAUUGAAAAAAAAGAACGAAACUCUGAAAAAGGAUGUUCAUUUGUUAGAAUUUGAACUGAAAGAGCGAUACAUUAAUGAGGAAUAUUUUAAGGAUAAUGACAAGAAAGUAUUAUUUUAUACUAGUCUUAGUACAUGGAGUUUGCUUAUGGCACUCUUCACAUAUAUAAAACCUUUUUGAAUGACACUGGAAAUUUAUCAUUGUCUUCAUUUCAAUAGCUGUUACUGACAUUGAUGAAGUGGCGUUUAAAUUUACACGGUCAAGACUUGGCAUACCAAUCAAUGUGCAUAACUCAACAAAGGCUGGGAGGAAGAACCAAUGACAAGUUUAUCAUAGAACAUAGUAAACUCUACAACAAUCUCUUACCAGGAGACACCAUUUUGGCAGAUCGUGGUUUUGACAUAAGAGACUCUGUUGGACUCCUGUGUUCAAAAUUAGUAAUUCCAGCAUUUACAAAAAAAGCAAAAAGCAGCUUGAUCCAAUAAGUGCUGAACAAACCAGGAAGAUUGCCAAUGCCCGCAUACAUGUACAUGUACAUGUGGAACGAGUUAUUGGGAAUGUGCGGAAGAAAUAUUCUUUUCUUAGUUCUACUUUACCAGUUGAUUUUAUGACAUCUGACGACUACCAAGAAACGACACUUGAUAAAAGAGUUUGUGUUUCUUGUGCUCUAGUUGUAUGUGACUCUGUUGUUCCAUUUGAUUAAGUUACUUAUUAUGAUUCAUGGUGAUUAUUAACAAAGUGAAAUCAGUAAUUGUCAUUAAAUGUAUUAUGAGAUUACAUAAAUUUUGAUUAAAUGUACUAGAAGUCUAUUUGUUAGCUUUCUCAGUCUUUCUUUGAAAAGCAGGUAAAUUGCGACAGUCAGGGCAAUACCAGUGCUUUGAUGUGGGCUCAGAUUCGAGGCCAAGGCAAUCUACAUGUAGAUGAAACCAUUGGUAGACACAACUGGGAUUAUUACACCCUACCAUGCUGCCUUCUUCUGGACCAUCACAACAGCAGUAACUUGUAACUGUGGAGGAUGAAGUUAAGCUACAAUCCCCUGACUGAACAGAUAUAUUUCGGGAAUAGAAUUUUCCUAGGAGCUCUAGUAAGAUGGCUGUUAUAGAAAAUGUUCUACUUUCAUAAUUUUCAAUGACCAAAAGUCUUCGUCUGGGUAAAUCCUUGCAAUGUAUAAAUCCUUAUCAGUCCAAUACAUGUAGCUUCUCCUUGUACAAAAAUUUUACACACCUGGUAAUAAUAUGCAUGAUAUUUUUUCAAAUCAAAAGAGCCAUCAUCAUUUUUAAAAAGACAAAAGUUGGUAUCUUUAACUGAUUCUUCAAUUGAGUCAUUUUUGUGACUACAUGUAUAUGGGCACUACAGUAGAUAUGAAUUAUACAUGCACUUAAAACUUAACACACUUUUAUUUCACAUGUGCCUUCCCAACAACAUAUACAAAAUACCAAGCCAUCUUAUGGGAGGUGAUUAGUGCCAAAAUUAGGAUAUUGCUUUCCUUUAAAAUUGGACACAUUUUAAAACUAUUAGAGCCUAUUUUUACUUUAUUGGAGCAGGCCUGGAGGAGGCUGACUUGUAUCAUCAAGUGGAGGAUACUUGCUGUGUCCUCAUGGCAGAGUCUAGUCCUGCAGAAAUAUUUGAUGCUGAUCCAAGGCCUACUAUUGUAUAUACCAGCUUAAUUGGUCGCCCAAGCUUUGCUGUAUCACGGGAGCAACUUUCUCAUAGAAAGUCAAUUUACUGUGCCUCAAAUCGCUGAAAUAUUGUGUAUGUCAGUAAAGACUAUUAGAAGAAGAAUGUCGGCUUAUGGUCUCUUUAUCAGAGCAUGUUACUCAAGUAUAAGUGAUCAACAGCUGGAUGAACUUGUAUUACAAAUACAUGUACAACAAGAUUUUCCAAACUGUGGAAACAGACAAAUGCGAGACCAUCUUGUAGCUAGAGGCUACCAAAUUCAACAAAGUCGUAUUAGAUUAUCACAAAGAAGAGUAGAUCCUGAGGGUGCUGUUAUGAGACAGUCUAAUGUUAUACAUUGAAGAGAAUAUUCUUUUCCCUGACCAUUAUCACUCUAUCAUAUUGAUGGAAUUAAUAAGAUGGAAGAUAGUGAUCCAUGGUUGUAUAGAUGGCUACAGCAGGCGCAUUAUUUAUCUACAUGCUUGUAACAACAAUAGGUCAGAAACAGUUCUUUGAUUGUUCCAACAAUCAGUGGAAGAGCUUUGAUUGCCUAGUCAUGUAAGGGCUGAUAAGGGAGGAGAAAAUGUUGGUGUUGAAAGGUUUAUGUUGCAGCAUCCUUUAAGAGGACCUGGAAGAGGGAGUUUUAUUAGUGGAAGAUCAGUCCAUAACCAACGAAUUGAGUGAUUGUGGAGAGAUUUAUUUCAAGGAUGUACAUCACUGUUUUAUGGCCUAUUCUAUGAAAUGGAGAAACAAAGAGUUUUGAACGUAAACAAUGAUGCCCACAUGUAUUCCCUUCAAUACAUAUUUAUUCCGAGAAUGAAUCGUGCUUUGUUUCAAUUUAAAGAAGCUUGGAACAAUCAUUCUUUAUCUACUAUAAGAAAUUUGUCUCCCAUACAAUUAUAGAUUAGGGAAUUAUACCACACACAAACUCAAGAGACAUUCACUGAAGCAGAAACAUUGUCUGAAGAAGAUGCUCAAAGUUAUGGUAUUGACUGGUCUAUUCCUGUCUCUCAAGAAGAUGAAAAUCAGAAUCAAGUGCUAGAAAUAGGUGGUCUUCUUAGUGGUGAAGCAUUCUCAGAUUUGCAAGCUCAAGUAACACCACUGCAAGAUAGUAGCAACUAUGGUGUUGAUUUAUAUUUCAAUGCUUUAAACUAUAUUUGCCAACAGCUUUAAUUGUAACACCUUAUUUCAAUAUCCUCUCUCUCUUAAUUUAUGCCACAAUUUCAUUGUAAUUUUAAUAAUUUUGCUUUUCAGUUUUGCAAUCAACAUGUAUGCAUGUAAACAACACCAAAAAUUCUUAAAAUGUAAUAAUCAUUGUUUCUCAGUUUAAAUGCAAA